rnacentral:rRNA from 1 species
ACUCCUACGGGAGGCAGCAGUAGGGAAUAUUGGUCAAUGGGCGAGGGCCUGAACCAGCCAUGCCGCGUGCAGGAAGACGGCCUUCUGGGUUGUAAACUGCUUUUGGCCGGGAACAAAAAGCCCCUGCGGGGGAAAUUGAGUGUACCGGCAGAAUAAGCACCGGCUAACUCCGUGCCAGCAGCCGCGGUAAUACGGAGGGUGCAAGCGUUGUCCGGAUUUAUUGGGUUUAAAGGGUGCGUAGGCGGGCCAAUAAGUCAGUGGUGAAAGCCCACAGCUCAACUGUGGAACCGCCAUUGAUACUGUUGGCCUUGAGUACCGUUGGGGCAGGCGGAAUUUAUGGUGUAGCGGUGAAAUGCAUAGAUACCAUAAAGAACACCGAUAGCGUAGGCAGCUUGCUAAACGGUAACUGACGCUGAGGCACGAAAGCAUGGGGA